GUGGCGAACGGGUGAGUAACACGUGAGUAACCUGCCCUUGACUCUGGGAUAACCUCGGGAAACCGAAGCUAAUACCGGAUACGACCCUCGGAGGCAUCUCCAGGGGGUGGAAAGAACUUCGGUCAAGGAUGGACUCGCGGCCUAUCAGGUAGUUGGUGAGGUAACGGCUCACCAAGCCGACGACGGGUAGCCGGCCUGAGAGGGUGACCGGCCACACUGGGACUGAGACACGGCCCAGACUCCUACGGGAGGCAGCAGUGGGGAAUAUUGCACAAUGGGCGCAAGCCUGAUGCAGCAACGCCGCGUGAGGGACGACGGCCUUCGGGUUGUAAACCUCUUUUAGUAGGGAAGAAGCGAAAGUGACGGUACCUGCAGAAAAAGCACCGGCUAACUACGUGCCAGCAGCCGCGGUAAUACGUAGGGUGCAAGCGUUGUCCGGAAUUAUUGGGCGUAAAGAGCUCGUAGGCGGUUUGUCGCGUCUGCUGUGAAAACCCGAGGCUCAACCUCGGGCCUGCAGUGGGUACGGGCAAACUAGAGUGCGGUAGGGGAGAAUGGAAUUCCUGGUGUAGCGGUGGAAUGCGCAGAUAUCAGGAGGAACACCGAUGGCGAAGGCAGUUCUCUGGGCCGUAACUGACGCUGAG
rnacentral:rRNA from 1 species